AUCAACAUUGUGGGAGCAACUUACAAUAAGGCUUUUAUAUUCGAGCACGAUACGCCUAGAAUUUUAUAUUUGAUUUUUUUUCAUUGUGCACAGUAUGAAAUCGGGUCACUCCAUAUCGCUACGUGUAUAUCGUACGAGGCGAUUAAGGGACACAUAGUCUUGGCAGCUGAUAUUCAUCUAUUAUGGAAUCACUACAAUGAUAUAUAAAAGAUUUAAAACCAGGAAUUAACAUCUUGCCUAAAUUUAAUUAUAACUAUGUAUCGUGCACGAGUACAGCCCGUGGUCGUAUCGCUAAAAUUAUCGUCUAUUUUACAAUGCAUCCAAUAAUAUAAUAACAAGUGUGCUACAGUUUCAGAACAUACAUCACAUGUAUUUUUUCUCUGCACAGACAGACAGACAUAAGAGUCGUGUAUCACCACCUUUUUUUUAUAAAAUAUCAUUGUAACCUGACAGCAACAGGCAGAUAAAUCUUUCUGACGUUAUAUGCCAGUUGGCACUAUCAGACACUUUAUCAGCAACCGGGAAACGAGAUCCUAAUGUCUAAAUUUGUUGAUAUAGCCAUUUGUAGCACAAGUAUUCAUUGUCUGUAAUCUGUGAGGUGAGAAUAUGUCAAAAUACAUUCGUAUUAAAGAAGUUUGAAUCGAGAUUCUAUUGAUAAUAAAAAUUAUCCAUAAUAAAUUUAACGAAAAAGUUACCAGUUCUCGUCCCGUAAGAAUUGUCGAUAUCGAUAAUCGACACGAUAAUUCCGAAGACAAAUAGAAAUUCUGAAUAUGGCUGAUGC